UACGGGGGGGCAAGCGUUGUUCGGAAUUACUGGGCGUAAAGGGCCAGUAGGCGGCCAACUAAGUCGGAUGUGAAAUCCCCAGGCUCAACCUGGGAACUGCGUCUGAUACUGGAUGGCUUGAAUCCGGGAGAGGGAUGCAGAAUUCCAGGUGUAGCGGUGAAAUGCGUAGAUAUCUGGAGGAAUACCGGUGGCGAAGGCGGCAUCCUGGACCGGCAUUGACGCUGAGGAGCGAAAGCCAGGGGAGCAAACGGG
rnacentral:rRNA from 1 species